AAGUCGUAACAAGGUAACCGUAGGUGAACCUGCGGUUGGAUCAUUAGCGUUUUUAGCAGCGCGCCGUUGUUGUGACCGUUUGUGGAGGGUAGUGUUUCGUUUUGGGUGUGGUGUUUUGGUUGGUUUGUCUUUUGGUUGGUGUUUGUCGUUUGACUUGUCGUUUGUCUUGUCGUUUGUGUUUCAUCUAUAUUUAUAUCUAUAUCUAUAUCUAUGACCACAUCGACAUGGACAUCGACAACCACAUCGACAACCACAAGCCUCAUCGACAUGGACAACCACAAACCUCAUGGACAGCCACUUCCAAAACUGAAACACGACUCUCGACUACACGCCAAUAAACACUUUUCUUUGCUUUGAUUUCGACUAAACUAAAACAACUUUUGACAACGGAUCUCUUGGCUCUC
rnacentral:misc_RNA from 1 species